UUUGCGGUGUUAAGGAAGUAUUUAAAUCUGUAUUCAAAGAAGAGUAAUAUUUAAAGCAGUGAAGUUUAUUUCAACCAGUUUGUGAUUUGAUAAAUAACGAAGGAUUAUUUCCUUUUUAAUUGAAGCUCAGUGUCGUGUAUAGUUCCAACAACGCCGCCGCAACUCAAGAGCAACUCAACGCCGUCGUUGGAUGAAACAAUUGUGAGUCUCACUAAAUUGUGUUGCCAAAAAGAAGUUAGCUUCAGCAUCAUCUUAUUGGACAUGAACUGUCUCGUAUUCGAUUACGCCGUCACUUUUAGUACUUUUUCUGAAGUAAAACGGUUCAUAGUCGAAAGAAGCACUUUUGAACCUCACACCAAAAGCCUCUUAGUGGGACUCUGAACAGGUUGAUAAUUGCAUCAGGGGAAAUCCAUGGAGGCAUGCAGGUGUCAGAGGUACAGGCGUCACCAUCUUUUUCUGAAUCUUUUUCUGCAUCCUUUUUCGCUGGACAACCGUCCGCUUCAACACCCCGUGCAUCCUUCUUCGCUGGACGAUCGGCCGCUUCAGCAUCCCCAGGAAGAAACGUUUUGAAUCAAAAGGAAACCUUCAAUUCAAAACGACGAUGCUCCGAAAUAGAGAAAAGGUCCAAUGAACUGGAUGAUAAUAAAGUAAUCGUUAUAUCUAAUGCAGAUAGACCUAGAUCACCCAACUGGUAUGUAAUUAUCGUUCCUCUAAAUAUUUCAAGAGAGAUGAGUCCGUGGUUUAACAAGUGCAUAACGUAGAUUAUUAAAACUGAAAAUGACAAUGUUGAAAUGACAAUGCAACAUUGCAAAUGUAAAAACUGUACUCUGCAUUGGACUAGUUGCGUAUGUGAAAACAGUAAUUACGAAAUAAAAGCCACUUGUUGCA